rnacentral:rRNA from 1 species
UACGUAGGGGGGCUAGCGUUGUCCGGAUUUAUUGGGCGUAAAGAGCUCGUAGGCGGUUUGUCGCGUCUGCUGUGAAAACUCGGGGCUUAACUCCGGGCCUGCAGUGGGUACGGGCAGACUAGAGUGCGGUAGGGGAGACUGGAAUUCCUGGUGUAGCGGUGAAAUGCGCAGAUAUCAGGAGGAACACCGGUGGCGAAGGCGGGUCUCUGGGCCGUAACUGACGCUGAGGAGCGAAAGCGUGGGGAGCGAACAGG